rnacentral:rRNA from 1 species
UACGUAGGGCGCAAGCGUUGUCCGGAAUUAUUGGGCGUAAAGAGCUCGUAGGCGGUCUGUUGCGUCCGCCGUGAAAACUCGGGGCUUAACCCCGAGCCUGCAGUGGAUACGGGCAGACUAGAGGUAGGUAGGGGAGAAUGGAAUUCCCGGUGUAGCGGUGAAAUGCGCAGAUAUCGGGAGGAACACCGGUGGCGAAGGCGGUUCUCUGGGCCUUACCUGACGCUGAGGAGCGAAAGCGUGGGGAGCGAACAGG